CUGAAUUUUAAUUAGGUCAGUAUCAGUUGUGUGAGGUCAUAGUUUUGUGAAGCUAAGUGACACAACUUUGUGUGUAAUCCAGAUAAUUCCAGUACACUUCUUCACUGUGAGGCUCAACAAGACUGUGGCUUGUGCUGGACGCUGCUUUUCUCUCUGUGCCCAGUUUUUGCAGUUUUAUCUUCUCUCCUCUCCUCUGUUGUGGUUUAUCACCUCUGCCAGAGAAAAGCUAAAGAACUUCAUUGUGAUCAGCAACGACUUGACUCUAGAGGUCAAACAAGACUGAAUCAGGAUGAAGAUGUGUGUUAUGCUGCGCUGGACUUUCAUCAGGCAUCACAGAGACCAAAGCAGAAGAAAGCUGAGUGUUCAGACUUCAGCACUUACUCUGCCAUCAACACUUCUCAGUUGUAAUGAAGAAGGAAUGAUUCAUUUGCAGGGAUAUUUAGAUUCCCUAUUAAAAGCAGAGC